rnacentral:lncRNA from 1 species
GAAGAUUUCCCGCAUCCCGUGAACGCGGACAUAGUUAAAAAAUACUACGCAUGAAAAAGACCCGCUAGAUCGACGUAUCUAGGCAAAAGUAAGGGCAUCCCGGCGAACCAAAAGGGUUCGGGCAAAAAUUAGGGAUAUAUAUAAAAAAAUGUACACCCGGCAAGUCGAAAACCUGAAAAGGUGGCUUGGGCAAAAAAGGGUAUCCUGGUGGACUGAAAACCUGAAAAGGC